rnacentral:rRNA from 1 species
UACGAAGGGGCUAGCGUUGCUCGGAAUCACUGGGCGUAAAGGGUGCGUAGGCGGGUCUUUAAGUCAGGGGUGAAAUCCUGGGAGCUCAACUCCAGAACUGCCUUUGAAUACUGAAGAUCUUGAGUUCGGGAGAGGUGAGUGGAACUGCGAGUGUAGAGGUGAAAUUCGUAGAUAUUCGCAAGAACACCAGUGGCGAAGGCGACUUACUGGACACAUAUUG